rnacentral:rRNA from 1 species
CACGGGGGGAGCAAGCGUUGUUCGGAAUCACUGGGCUUAAAGCGCGUGUAGGCGGAUGGGAACGUCGGUAGUUGAAAGCCCCCGCUCAACCGGGGAAGUGGUGCCGAAACGACCCGUCUGGAGGGACGUAGGGGGACCUGGAACUUCCGGUGGAGCGGUGAAAUGCGUUGAGAUCGGAAGGAACACCAGUGGCGAAGGCGACUUUCUGGCCGCUAACUGACACUGAGACGCGAAAGCUAGGGGAGCGAACGGG